rnacentral:misc_RNA from 1 species
AUGGCGGUAGCAUCUAACAUCUUUCCCAUCUCCUUUUUACUUUUUCUGCCGCGCUUUUUUCUCACGCCUUCUUCAACAUAGGAAGAACCUCCUGCCCCGUUUCCAGCAGAGUUGGUCAUUUUGGUCUCACACUCAGUAUCGAAAUCCAAAGAUUGUAUUUCUUCGUGACUGGAAAGACUUGGGUUUGCAUCCACACGAGUGUCUGUGCUCCCUUGCUCCAUUGGAAACAGACAAACAAGUUCAAAAUGUGAACCCUAGCUUUGUCUAC